UUCCCGGUGUAGCGGUGAAAUGCGUAGAUAUCGGGAAGAACACCAGUGGCGAAGGCGCUCUGCUGGGCCAUCACUGACGCUCAUGGACGAAAGCCAGGGGAGCGAAAGGGAUUAGAUACCCCUGUAGUCCUGGCCGUAAACGAUGAACACUAGGUGUCGGGGGAAUCGACCCCCUCGGUGUCGUAGCCAACGCGUUAAGUGUUCCGCCUGGGGAGUACGCACGCAAGUGUGAAACUCAAAGGAAUUGACGGGGGCCCGCACAAGCGGUGGAGUAUGUGGUUUAAUUCGAUGCAACGCGAAGAACCUUACCAGGGUUUGACAUCCUGCGAAUCUCUUGGAAACGAGAGAGUGCCUUCGGGAGCGCAGUGACAGGUGGUGCAUGGCUGUCGUCAGCUCGUGUCGUGAGAUGUUGGGUUAAGUCCCGCAACGAGCGCAACCCACGUCUUUAGUUGCCAGCAUUUAGUUGGGCACUCUAGNNAGACCGCCGGUGAUAAACCGGAGGAAGGUGUGGAUGACGUCAAGUCAUCAUGCCCCUUACAUCCUGGGCUACACACGUACUACAAUGCUACGGACAAAGAGCAGCAAGUUCGCGAGGACAAGCAAAUCUCAUAAACCGUGGCUCAGUUCAGAUCGUAGGCUGCAACUCGCCUACGUGAAGGAGGAAUCGCUAGUAAUCGCAGGUCAGCAUACUGCGGUGAAUACGUUCCCGGGCCUUGUACACACCGCCCGUCACACCAUGGAAGUUGGCCACGCCCGAAGCCGUUACUCCAACCCUUGUGGAGGAGGACGUCGAAGGUGGGGCUGAUGACUGGGGUGAAGUCGUAACAAGGUAACC
rnacentral:rRNA from 1 species